rnacentral:lncRNA from 1 species
AACAGUGACCACUCAGCAGAGAGUUCUUCACCUCUAGUCACGUAAAUGUGUGGGGAUUUCUCCCCACCAACACAGGGUGUCUGUGCCACCUGCCAAAUCACUGUUCUGUAAUGACAUUCAGAUCUGGCUGCUGCUACCUGGAGAUGGCAUCAGAUGACACACAGCUUUCUCCUACAGCACUGCCCCACAUGGUCUGCCAGUCACCUGGAGAAGUUGGGACCCCCUGCUCACCACCUGGAGGGAAACAUGCUCUGCAGACAUCUUCCUUAUCUUAAAACUCUGCUUGCAUUCAUUGGGAUUCCUCCAAGGAUCACUGUGGCAACUCCUCUGCUGCCAGGCCCCACACUGUUCUCUGACUGGGGUGCUGCCCCACAGUGGAGCCUUGCACCUCUGCUCAGCUUGUCUCUAGUUCUCUGGGAGACUGCGCCCAUGAACCCUAGAAUCUUCUGGCCAUUGUCUCCUAAACGUCAUGCUGGGAUGUUUAGCGGGCCUUUCCACUUUCAUGUCCUCCCAUGACCUGAGCUCCUCAGACGCCUCCCCGGCAUAGUCCUCAACAUCUCAGGAAGGUCAGCCUCUAUUGGGGGACUUGGCUGGACACCUCCACAUGAAUCAAAAUU